rnacentral:tRNA from 2 species
AGUCUUCGUAGUAUAUAAAAUACCCUGGUCUUGUAAACCAGAAAAGGAGGGCCACCCCUCCCCAAGACU